rnacentral:sRNA from 1 species
AGCGCUUGCGGCGGACCCGGCAUCGACCUUUAUCAUGACUUCGCAGGCAGUCGGUCCAUGUACGGCCCGGUACAUUACACCGAGGUGUAAUUUAAUAUUUUC